CUUUAGCCCCGAUUGAAGUGGAAAUCCUUUUGUCCGCCGCGGCGGAUAAAAGAUUGCAACGAAAAGCGGGAACGAUU
rnacentral:sRNA from 1 species